UCCCUGGCAGUCCAGUGGUUACGACUCCGCACUUCCAAUGCAGGGGCUCGGGUUCCAUCCCUGGUCAGAGAA
rnacentral:tRNA from 1 species